rnacentral:rRNA from 1 species
CCAGCACCCCGAGUGGUCGGGACGAUUAUUGGGCCUAAAGCAUCCGUAGCCGGUUUUACAAGUCCUCCGUUAAAUCCAACUGCUUAACAGAUGGGCCGCGGAGGAUACUAUAAGACUAGGAGGCAGGAGAGGCAAGCGGUACUCAGUGGGUAGGGGUAAAAUCCGUUGAUCCAUUGAAGACCACCAGUGGCGAAGGCGGCUUGCCAGAAUGCGCUCGACGGUGAGGGAUGAAAGCUGGGGGAGCAAACCGGAUUAGAUACCCGGGUAGCCCCAGCUGUAAACGAUGCAGACUCGGUGAUGGACUAGCUUUAUGCUAGUCCAGUGCCGCAGGGAAGCCGUUAAGUCUGCCGCCUGGGUAGUACGGUCGCAAGACUG